GGCACGCGGCCCUUCCUCUGCAGGCUGGUCUUGCACAUUCUGAAGGACUGCUAUAGAGAGGGCCUCAGCCUGAGCCUGCUCACCAGGGCAGCCUAUGAGGGCUGCUUCGAGGCCUCUGAGCUGGGGGUCUGCUUCUUCCAGAAGGCCCCACUCCCUGCCUGGAGCGCCAACACCACAAAAGGCACCUUCCCUGCCAUGGCCUGGAGUGGCACCACCGCUGCCUCCAAGGGCAAACAGCUGCCUGCCCCUGGCGACAGCCUCAGCAAUGAUGGCGGUGUCGCUGCCAUCCCCUUCUCCCUUGUGGGUGCCGGCAAUGACCAGGCGUCCGUCACUGAGGGCUUUGCCACCCCUGUGGGGGCCUCCCUCCUUGUGACCAGCAGCCCUGGGGGCCCCAUCACUGGCCAGGGCUCCAUCGACCUGUCUGGGGAUUCUGUGGCCAUGUGGGGGGGCAAAGGCUUCCGGGUAGACUUUGGAGACCCCGUCUUCCAUGGCCCCAGCCUCCUCUGUAGCAGCAUCCAGACCUUCUAGCUCAACGGCUUCCUCUUCGAAAGCUGGGGAUCCCUCUGCAGCCCUGUUGGUGUGGCCUAGGGCCCCGGGCCCUGCCUCCCUCAGCAAUGGCCCGGUCUCUGCGGGGAAACUCAUGCCAACCCUGUUCUACUGUGUGGGUCUCUCCGCCAGUGGGAUGGGCUCCCUCACCCUACCCUCCUCUGUCACCGACAUCUUCACCAAUACUGCCAGCAACUACGCCCUCUCGGAGGCCACCAAUGGCCCUGUGGCCGCUGAUGAGGCCUCGGUCACCUUACCCUUCAACUUUACUGAUGUCAAAGGCGCCGUUGCUGAGAUGGUUGAAGGCGACAGGAAGGAAGGAGGUGGCCAGGGCCUGGUCCCUGCGGGUCACGACCCCCUUCUAGAGACCAACGCUGGUGGCCUUGCCUCCCAGGUCAAGGGCUCCCUAGGUCCUCUUUCUUCCCUGCUGACGUCCAAGGCAAAGAUUCUUUUACUGACAUCACCCAAGGCAGAGAAGAAAGGUGGCCUCCUCACCGCGGGUCACCACCUCCCUCCGGAGGCCAACGCUGAGGGCCCUGUCACCGUGAGCACGUACAGAGACCCCGGCGGCCUCAGGAGGUUCCAUCCUACACAGAGGCUGGAGACAGCAGCCAACCUGCCAGUGACAAGGCCAGGCGUCCCAGGAGAAACCUGAAUCCAGGCUCUCGGGGCCCAACUGCCGGAUGGCAGCCCCAAACGCUGACUCACUCAGAGGGCCGGAGCCAGCCUUGCCCUGGGUAAAAAUGGGAGCGAAGGCACUGUGUGCACCCGCUGGUGUGCGGCUCAGCCCUGAAGGCAAACGCGCUGCUGGGAGUGCUGAGGGCGCUGUCGCCGUCACCGGAAAGCCGAGGCACAGACACCAGCCCAAAAGCCAAGCGCAGGCCUGGCGCUCACAUGCCAGGCAGCCCAAGCUGAGCUCUCACCCUGAGCCACACCUGAGUUCUCACCUGAGGCUCCUGUAUGGGUUUGAGUGGCCAGGUUGGGCCUAAUAUGAGGUAACAAUAACGACUUUUGGCAACUUAGUUGAUAGUAGAGACAUUUCAUAUCAGAGUCAAAGAAGAUGAGAGGCAGACAC